rnacentral:ncRNA from 1 species
UGUUCUCAGGGCGGGGCGAAAUUCCCCACCGGCGGUGAUAGCCCGCGAGCGGCCCGUAAGGGUGUCAGCAGAUUUGGUGAAAUUCCAAAGCCGACGGUCAUAGUCCGGAUGAAAGAGAGCG